GUGCCAGCAGCCGCGGUAAUACAGAAAUCCCAAGCGUUGUUCGGAUUCACUGGGCGUAAAGGGUGCGUAGGUGGUGAGGUAAGUCGGAUGUGAAAGCUCGGAGCUCAACUCCGAAAUGGCAUUGGAAACUACCCUGCUAGAGGAUUGGAGGGGGGACUGGAAUGCUUGGUGUAGCAGUGAAAUGCGUAGAUAUCAAGCGGAACACCAAUGGCGAAGGCGAGUCCCUGGACAAUUCCUGACACUGAGGCACGAAAGCUAGGAGAGCAAACAGGAUUAGAAACCCUCGUAGUCC
rnacentral:rRNA from 1 species